rnacentral:miRNA from 1 species
GUGUUCCCCAACCCACUCCUCAUGGACCACCAACAAUCCAGGUUGUGUCAGUAUUUGCAUUGGAAUAAAUCCGGGAAAUACGUAAAUCCUGGACUGUUGGUGGUCCAUGAGGACUGGGUUGGGGAACA